rnacentral:misc_RNA from 1 species
GGAUACCCACCCGGAAGGCCCAUUGAUGCUGCACAGGCUAUUGGAUACAAAAGGCUUGAAAAGCGAUAUCAUGAUUUCAUUAUGAAGAGCGGUGGGUGGUUCUACAAGGAUCGAUUAGGUCGUUCGAGGGGACCUAUGGAAUUAAUACAGCUUAAGACUGCUUGGGGUGCUGGAAUUAUUGAUAAGCACACCUUCAUUUGGGGUGAGGAUAUGGAUGAAUGGGCUCCCAUCGGAAUGGUAUAUGGUCUGGGAAAAGCAAU